UACGUAGGGACCAAGCGUUGUUCGGAAUUACUGGGCGUAAAGGGCGUGUAGGCGGCCAACUAAGUCCGACGUGAAAUCCCCAGGCUUAACCUGGGAACUGCGUCGGAUACUGGAUGGCUUGAAUCCGGGAGAGGGAUGCAGAAUUCCAGGUGUAGCGGUGAAAUGCGUAGAUAUCUGGAGGAAUACCGGUGGCGAAGGCGGCAUCCUGGACCGGCAUUGACGCUGAAGCGCGAAAGCUAGGGGAGCAAACGGG
rnacentral:rRNA from 1 species